GCCGCCGUAGCUCAGCGGUAGAGCACCGGCCUCGUAAGCCCCCGCUGGCGUCCACUGGCGGGAUGAGCCGCGGGUUCCGAGGGAGCCGGGGGUCCCGGGUUCGAAUCCCGGCGGCGGCUCCA
rnacentral:tRNA from 1 species